UAGCUCAGCUGGCUAGAGCAGCUGAUUUGUAAUCAGCAGGUCGUGGGUUCGAGUCC
rnacentral:tRNA from 2 species